GACGAACGCUGGCGGCGUGCCUAAUACAUGCAAGUAGAACGCACAGUUUAUACCGUAGCUUGCUACACCAUAAACUGUGAGUUGCGAACGGGUGAGUAACGCGUAGGUAACCUGCCUGGUAGCGGGGGAUAACUAUUGGAAACGAUAGCUAAUACCGCAUAAUAUUAAUUAUUGCAUGAUAAUUGAUUGAAAGAUGCAAUUGCAUCACUACCAGAUGGACCUGCGUUGUAUUAGCUAGUAGGUGAGGUAACGGCUCACCUAGGCGACGAUACAUAGCCGACCUGAGAGGGUGAUCGGCCACACUGGGACUGAGACACGGCCCAGACUCCUACGGGAGGCAGCAGUAGGGAAUCUUCGGCAAUGGACGAAAGUCUGACCGGGCAACGCCGCGUGAGUGAAGAAGGUUUUCGGAUCGUAAAGCUCUGUUGUAAGAGAAGAACGGGUGUGAGAGUGGAAAGUUCACACUGUGACGGUAUCUUACCAGAAAGGGACGGCUAACUACGUG
rnacentral:rRNA from 1 species